GCCUGCCCCGUGAUUUACUUUAACGGCCGCAGUAUAACCGCGCAAAGGUAGCAUAAUCAAUUGUCCCUUAAAUCGGGACUAGUAUGAACGGCACCACGAGGGUUUAACUGUCUCCCCCCCUUAAUCAAUGAAAUUUAUCUUCCCGUGAAAAAGCGGGGAUACUAAUAUAAGACGAGAAGACCCUAUGGAGCUUAAAACUUAUUACCAUAUAUUUUAUAAAACAACAAAUUAUCUAAUAUUACUGUUCUAUAAUAGUUUUCGGUUGGGGCAACCCUGGAGAAAAGUAAAUCCUCCAGAUUGAAAAAUAACCUUAUACAAGAAUUACAAUUCAAAUAAACAAAAAUUUGACAAUAUUGACCCAGAAUUAACUGAUCAAUGAACCAAGUUACCCUAGGGAUAACAGCGCUAUCCAUUUUAAGAGUCCAUAUCGACAAAUGGGUUUACGACCUCGAUGUUGGAUCAGGAUAUCCUAGCAGUGCAAAAGUCGCUAACGGUUCGUUUGUUCAACGAUUAAUAUCCUACGUGAUCU
rnacentral:rRNA from 1 species